GAGAAAGGCUACAGCUUCCCCUACAGAUUCCCAGCCAUCCACCUUCCCCACUGGAGGCAGAGGAUGAAAAACAAGACUUCUGGACCAGACAUUACAGAGACAAGAAAGGCCAUUUGUCUCCCGAAUCAUGUGAAGGGAGACCGUUGGCCUUUGAAGCCACUGAGCAGUAGCAAACUAUGAAGCCAGCCGGUCCCUCCCCUUUGAAUAGCUUCUCUGAAGGUCUCG
rnacentral:lncRNA from 1 species